rnacentral:rRNA from 1 species
UACGUAGGGUGCGAGCGUUGUCCGGAAUUAUUGGGCGUAAAGAGCUCGUAGGGGUCUGUCGCGUCGGUCGUGAAAACUUGGGGCUUAACCCUGAGCUUGCGGUCGAUACGGGCAUGACUGGAGUUCGGUAGGGGAGACUGGAAUUCCUGGUGUAGCGGUGAAAUGCGCAGAUAUCAGGAGGAACACCGGUGGCGAAGGCGGGUCUCUGGGCCGAUACUGACGCUGAGGAGCGAAAGCGUGGGGAGCGAACAGG